GACGAACGCUGGCGGCGUGCUUAACACAUGCAAGUCGAACGGAAAGGCCCUGCUUUUGUGGGGUGCUCGAGUGGCGAAAGGGUGACUAACACGUGAGUUACCCUCCCCUUCCUUUGGGAUAACUUCAGGAAACUGGGGCUAAUACCGGGUAGGAGUUCCUGCUGCAUGGUGGGGGUUGGCAAGUUGCGGCGGUUGGGGAUGAACUCGCGGCUGAUCGGCUGGUUGGUGGGGUGCUGGCUUACCAAGUGUUUGACGGGCAGCCGGCCUGAGGGGGUGACCGGCAACAUGGGGACGGAGUUAGGGCCAAGCCUCCACGGGGAGGCAGCAGGGGGGAAAAUUGCAAAAUGGCGGGAAGCCGGUUGCGGCAACGCCGCGGGGGGGAUGACGCCCUUCGGGUGGUAAACCGCCUUCGCCGGUGAGGAGGCGGGAGUGACGGUAACGGGUGAAGAAGCACCGGCUAACUACGUG
rnacentral:rRNA from 1 species